rnacentral:lncRNA from 1 species
CUUCCUGAAGCAGUGAGACGGUUGUGUGGCCAGCUCGACUUAUCCCUUUCUUUGGCCCCAAACUCAUAUCACAGCUUCCCAUUUAUCCCACCUAGCUUGACGGCAGUUGACGAAAGUAGCCUUGGAAAUGUUUGUAAAAAGCCAAUUCCUGGAGAGCAGAGUAAGGGGGAAGAACGAAUCUGUUUUUUGAAUCUCCAAGGUUUCAAAGCAUGGAUAACUGAAGAUUCAUUAACUUAAGCACUAAUGAGUUUCUAAAUAAAGUUGAGAACUUCAGUUCACUACCCUCAUCGAGAAAAUUAUGGUCAAGUGUUGAGAAGGCACCCAGGGCUCUCCACCUGACUCCAUUCUUCACAUUCUCCCCCAGCACAGAAAUGGCCACAGGGAAAGCCUUCUAUCAAACUCUGUGACAUCUUGGUAAAUAUGUAAUUAUACAUGCAGCAUCUUCAUAUGUUCUUUUCAGCAACAAAUUAAUAUAAACCAGAUGUGCAGUGAGCCAGAGUACGCUCAGGAGGUUGUCCUGAGAAAGUAAAGACACAUUGAUUUAGAGUACACACCUGCAGUUCUUGCUGCUGUGUGCUCUUCUGCUGCAGCUUUGACGUCAGCUGCUUAAGGGAAGCCUCAGCUUCCCAAAUCCUCUCUUGUUGAUUAAGUAGAGGAACUCUGGGUCAAUAAGGUCAUCUAAUCACCUCAUUGCAAAGCCCAGAGAAUCAGGGAAUGGCGUCUUCCUAUAAGAGGUCACUAAACCCCACCUAGUGUUUAACAUGACCUGCUUGCUUUAUAGUGAGCUUGAAACAAUCGCUUCUAGUUAUUUAUGAAAAUAUAGAUGCAGAAAAUGUAAGAACAGGGAGGAAGAUUUGAAAGGUUGUGAGUAAAAUAUCACCUUGCUCUGCUCUCUCCGUAAGUCAAGAAAUAAAGGCUUUCACUCUAAACAGGAUCAUGUAUGUAAGACACUUAAAACAGAGAUAAAGAAAAAUGGCUUUAUUAAAUCAACAAAUAGUCAAAGAAAAGGAUUGAAAUCUUGGGGUUUAAAUUAUUUAUGAGAAUAAUCCCAAACCAUAGCCAAACGAAGCACUAGACACUUCUUACAUCAAAAGGGUUUUUGUUGAUUUUUAAAAUUUCCUUGUUUUGCUGCUAAAGAGCUGAGUGGAACUUUACUUUAUAACUGGUGAAAUACGCAUAGUUAGAACAUUCUUCUUAAGUAUUAAAUGUCUAAUAAUUAUUGAGGAUAUUGGCAAUAACUCCAUCCCACCUUAAACUCUGAUUUUUUCAGGUUUUAGUUAUGUCCAUUCAAAUCAAUGCAUUUAGAUUAUAAUUCAAAAUUUUCCUUCAAAUAAUAUUUUAUUAAUAAAGAUUUUGUUAACCCAUCACCCGUUUUUUAUCAUUAUUGGUUCUUUUGUAUAAAGAAAUUGCAAUUUCAUAUAAAGCAUACAAUGUCCAAGGUGGAGUUAUUUACGCACCUAGUAAGGCAGGCAAUUUGAGUUCUUUUUCUCUUGGUCAGGAUGAACUUGGACUUCCUCCUUUUAAUCAAUAACCCAAGAAUAUUUUGGCAAUGAAAGUGAUAGGUCCCAAAGAAGCUAUAGGCCACAGGGGAAAACACGCCCAUAUAGAAAAGAGCUGUAAAUGGGGAUUAUAGAAUAUGCAUUCUCUUAAGAUAUGAAAAUUAGAGUGCUCUCCAGUGCUGUCCGUCUCCUCUUGAUGCAGCUAUGAGUCCUGAGAAGAAUACUCGGCUCUGCUGAACUUCUCUCCUUCCUUUAGCAGACAUCACUGGGACCCUGUGUUCUUCCAUUUCCUCUUCUAAUAAAAUAGAAUAAUACCAUCUUCUUCCACAAAUAUGAAGAGUGAUACAAAUGACAAUGUUUUAUUUUUUAAUCUCUGGACAAGAUAAAUGACUUGAGGACAAGGAAACGCCUAUUUUUUGCUUUCUCUUUUUUUUAAGAAAAAAAGAAAGAAUUAAUUUCGUUUGAAGAAACACAGAUGUCCUCAAAUAGGUCCUGUGUGCCAAAAGAGUUCUUUAGAAAUUCUCUGAUGAGUCAAAAUUCCAAGGUUCUUUCCCAUGUUGGCUUGUGUGGUUCCCUAAUAUUGCUUCGAGUUAGGUCAGAGCGAUAAGGCGUCUCUCACUAAAAUGUUCCUACAGUCCUCUCGGUUGUCAGACAAUUCCCUGAAUUUCGAAUUUCUCCAAAAUCUUACCCCAAUAAGUUGUUUUUUAUUUCCCGCUGAUGCCUGAACAGAGCCAUAAACUAGACAAUGAAGGGAACAAUAUUUGCAAGAAUGUCGAUUGACUCAAAUACUAAUUGGUAAUAUCUGUGUGCAGUAGUUUCCUUCAAUAUAUGUUAUAUUAUACUUAACUAGUCUCCUGUCUAGGAUAUCAGACAUUAGGCAUUUGGACAAUAUUUGUUAUACUUUGUUUAAUUAUCUUUUAUAGAUUAUCAAUAGAGCAUUUUAAAAAAUGAAUACAAAGUGUGUGCAGAGUGCUGCUCCAUAACUGAAUGGUUGUGUAUAAUUUUGUCCUCGGUAAAAUUUCCCAGAGACCCUUCUCUGAAGUAGUCAUUUAAAUGAUAGUGAUCUUUGGACGAUGCUGUUAGGAUUAGAUAAUAAGGGUAUGACUCAUAAACAUGUCAUUUAAACAUGGGAACAAGUAACUAGAACCCACUCUCUAGCCAAAAACCUCUCAUUUUUAUGGGUUUUCCACCCCCACAUGAAUGGCAUACACCUCCAGCCUUUAAACUGGCAGGUUUUCUUAGAAAAAUGACCCAUUCUAUGAUGAAGAAUACCUAAAUCCCACAAGUAAAAGAAGCAGCCUGUUAUUACUCUUCCUGUUCAGCACAUGAAAAGCAGAAGAAUGUGAGAACCAGACCCAACCUGUAAUUUGGUAGCCAAACAACAGAUUUGUGCUGUAACAGGAAAAAUAAAAAUAUAGCUCUACUUUGGUAUUCUUGGCUGAUCUGCCCUGGAGGAGGAGUGAAACUUUGCUUGAUUUUCUUGCUUCCAGAACAAUGUUCUUGUCUGCCACUAGAUUCCAAUUAAAGAAGCUUGUGCACAUGGGGAGUUCAAUGUUUGUUCCCAUUCCGAGUACUGAGAUUAAGGAGGAUAUGGUGUGUGUUUGCUCUGUCACAUGUCAGGCCUUCCUCUGCUGAUGCGCACACUUCCUCUUAGGUGCACUUUAGGAUUGAACUGUUUUAGGCUGUAUAUUUUUUCUCUUUAAGUAAGUGAUAAAAGAAAAACUGAAGCACAUUAAAAUUUUCAAGAGUUAUUUGAACACUUAUCAAUUUGAAUUUGGCAGCUCCAAAGCUGGUUAGAAGUGCUCCACUGACAUGAGCUAGGGGAAAAGUUUUUAUAGAGAAGGCAAGAAGCGAAGUAAAGAAAUCAUUUGAUUGGCUAUAGCAUAGCAGUUGCUUUAGGUGGGAAAACCCAUUUGGCUGUCUGUGAUUGCUUGUUCCUAACUGUCAUUUUGUGAAUUCCAGUGCAUCGUCUCUAACUUAGGUUUUUGUUUGCUCACAUAGGCUACAAGGCAUUAGAGCCACCUCAGUCUAAUGGCCUCCUUGUUUAAUUACUCUAACACAAUUACUCUAAAACAUAGUUACUGCACUAUAGAAGUAAUCAGAGUUCCUCACAUCUGUGAUUGACUACAACUUGCUUAGUGACAGAAAGGACAGAUUUUCCUAGUUCAGUCUACAAUUCAAUAAAAGGGAGAUUGAUGACAGUCCUUGUCUUAUCAAUACCACAGAUACAUAGUAACCCUUUUGAGAAAGGUAAUAUCAUAUUUAGACCUAUUAUUAUAUACACACACAUACACACACCUACACACAUAAAUAGACACACAUAUGUGAAUAUAUACAUAUAUGUAUAUCAUUUAACUGGGAAUAUUUAUAUUUGUCUUGGUCUCUACAACAAUAGCUAUGAAAAACAUGAAGACAGUGUUAUUCUCCGUCAUCGAAGACAAGAUUUUUCUCAUAGAUAAGUGGGGAAAGGGGAAUUUGACACAGUUGUAAGAAAAAUAGCUUUUAAUCCACAAGAAGUCCCCAAAGCACAAAUCAUUCCAUCAAAACGCUGGGAAUCUGAAGCUCCAAAGAGAGACUUGAUCCGUGGCCAAUAGUUCUUUAUCUGGUAAGUGCUCUGGAGUCAAACCGGGGAUUUGGUUCUGAGACCAGCGAGUUCUGUUCAUUCCAGGUUGCCUUGUAACAUGAGGUGUUUGGAUCCCAGGUUGCCUCGUAACCUGAGGUGUAAACCUACUGGUUUCUUAUGUCUGUAUUGUUCCAUUCCAUUGCCCUUUUUAUUGAGUAGUGUGUAUAUACUAAUAGAACCUUUACACUCUAAAACCCUGUGCAAAAUUGUUUCCAUCAUUACAUAGAAUUGUAUCAACAUCAUGAUAUGAUUUUGUGUGCAGUAUGCAUUCAUAAGACAGUAUCACAAGAUCGAUAUUAAAAUAUUUUCCUGAUAGAUGGGAAACCUAAAGAAUCUCUUAGUGGGUUUCAGGAAGAAACAAAGGAUUACUAAUUUUGGCAAGCCUCUGUAUUUAAAAUAUGUGUAGCUAGAUGAGACAAAAGCUAGCUUUGUCCAUCCUUUCUGUAGCUUCACCCUAAAUUGGUGGACUUAACCUCUGUGUAUCUGAAGCACUAAGUUGCGGUUACCUCCCCAUUCACCUCUGCGACUAGGACAGGGGAGGGUGAGGAGAAGUAAAAGACUUCUAUGUUUCAGGAUCAUUGAAGAGGGUUAAUGAGAGCGCCAGAGCUGAGCUAGUGCUUUGAGUUGGUGAGUCUAUGUUACAAGAGCAUUUAGAGAAGAGAUGUGUUUUUAGGGUGUUGAAAGUCUUCCUGAGGCUGGGAAGUAGACUUCAUAUCUCCUCAGCCUCUCCAGUGUAGAUACUCUUAACCUUGAGAGAUGCUGUUAUCGCUCAUGAGGUGGUUCAUGGCUUCUGAAGGUGGGGGCUCAGCAUUAAUAAGUACAGCUGUGGGGGUCACAGUGGCAAGUACCCGUGCCCAGCAGAGAAGGCUCCUGAUGGUUUUGUCAGAUGAACAUAACAGCAAUGUUCAGUGUGCACUGAUGACCAGAGUGCCCUGCUCCAAAUGUUCUGGAAUGACCCAAGAAGAAAUCAUGACUAACUCACAAUAUCCUUCCAGAAAUACAGGAGGGACUUCUGAGAAGAUUGUUUGAUGAUUAAGAGAAAUUAAAAAAAAAAAAAAGCUAAAGACUAAAUUUCAUUCACAUGACAGAAUACCUAGCCCAUUCAGAUGGAUUCUCUUUCCUUCUUUUUGUCUAUGUGCUUAUCCUUCAUCCAAACUUUGAGGUGAGAAGAUAAGUUGGAAAAAAACCCAUGAAAAUAUUUCCUGGCAUCUCCCCCAGGAAUGAGUGAUGAAUAGAGGCUGGAAACAACUCUAAAAGCCAUUUUCUUUGCUCAUGUGAGGUCAUGAGGUUGCUCUGUGCAACUCUCUGGGCACAAGAAUGAAUGAAAAUGGCACAAAACACACCCAAGGUCUAUCAUUGAUUUAAAGUGAUUGAUGGCUGGUCUUGUCUGAUUGUGCUGCAUUUUCAAAACAUCCAUCAUUCCAAACAAACCCUGCACUCCAUAGUCCAAUAUACAGUUACAUGUGGCCAAAGUGUUGAGGAUUUAUUUUUUUCUCAGAGAGCAGUUGGUGGUGGAGUGGGGGCAGAAAGAGAAUGUGUUACUUCCUAUUACAAAACGACAAAACUGUUGUCUGUUAGGAAGAAAGUACUCUGAUGACACAUGCUAAAUUCUUGUUAAGUUUAUGUAGGAGUGUGUUCAUUUCCAUCGAGCAAACCACAUUUUCCACAUUUCCCACACUUUCCUCAGGCUGUGUCUUCCUCAAGCCUCUGCACAAAAUCUAAUAUUUGUCCUCCUUAAAGAAUCAGCCAUUCCUAAUUCCUAGAACAAUCUGGUUUGAGACAGGAAGUUCAUUAUUUUAGAAUAACUGAGAAAUUAUUAUAAAAGUGUUUCAUCCUCCUUACCCAAAACAUAGAUAAAGAAAAGUAUGAAGAAAGAAAAAUCACACAUGAUUACCUCCUAUCCCACAUCUAACCAUAUCCACUCUUUCCUUGAAUGUUUUAACGAGGUCAUUGCAAAACCUUCCAGUACAUGAUGCUUGGGGCAGACAAGGAGUGUUAGCCUCUCCUGACUCACUCUCUUGGGUUCAUAGGGCUGCGCAGGGGUGUGUGCUGGAGCCCUAGGGGUGAGCCCACCCAUUGUGAAUCACCAGUGGUGCUUAUCUCACCCGUGACAUGGCAUCUCCUGCUUACCUCUAAGCUCCAGGGUUGAGCCCAGAAUCUAGCUUUCCUCUCAAGCCCUGAAGUGCCUCCAGUCGCAUGAAAUCUCAGAUCCAUUCCUGCUCUAGGUGCCAUCGUUCCUGGAACUUGCAUUCUUCCUGAGUCAUCAUUCAGAACUCUGUCUUUGUACAGUACUAAGGACCAGGCUUUGCUCUUGCCAGAAGUUGACAAGCUGGUCCUAAAUUCAUUCAAGGGACCCAGAAGAGUCAAAACAGUCUUGAAAAAGAAGAACAAAGUUGAAGGACUCGAACAUACUCUUUUAAAAACUUACUACAAAACUACAGUAAUCAAGACAGCUUGGUAUUGGCAUAAAGAUAAACAUAUAGGCCACUCCACACAGAAAAGCUCCACUGAUGUAGAGAAGACCUCAUUACAGACAAACAAGAUGAUGAGAAUUAAGCAUCCCUAUGGACAAAGCCAAUUAGAAAAGACGAUGGUAACCGAAGCUGUAUAGUAACGUAAACAGUCUGGGAGAGCAACUUCUCAUUUUGGCGUAAUUGAGAGAGGAAAAUGACCCAACUCUAUUUGCUAAAGCUCUUCAGAUCCUGAAGAUUCAGAACUCUAUCUGACAAGCCAAAAUGGGUUAUCCUGAGAAAGAACUUGAAACUAAGAUUUAAGAUGGAUUUCAUAUUCUCUACCUUUGGGUAUUUUUAUUGGAAAGAGCAUGACACGGGUAGAACAGGAAGAAAAGGUGGUCAUCUCCAGGUCUUUGCUCUACAUGAAUUUUCCUGAGUAUCCAGAUACUUAGAAACAUCUGAAUACUUAAAUGGGACUAAUACAAUAUUUGGGUGACUGAAAACAUUGUUUCUUUUACAUAGAAAUAUUUGGACAUUUUGCAUAGGUUAUCUAAAAUAUCAAUGAUAUAAGGUAACAUAUCAAACAUAUGCUUUGUUCUUGGUGUGAUCCUUGUCUUCACUUGCUCGCAUGAUAGUGACUUUAGUUUGGAUGAUGUAGUGGUGCCUAGAUUUCCAACUAUGUCAGAAGAAUGGACUAAUAAUUCCACUCUGGCAGCCUGACUCACUGUAAACCCAUGGCUAAAAAGGCACACAGACCUACAGAGAAUGACAGCAUCAAUGGUAUGUUAUAGAAACUCAUGCUGCACUUCUCAAAAACAAAGUUUUCUGUCUUCACAGCUUUCAAUAUAGCACCUUGCACUGAUACUAAAUUUGCUGAUUGUUUUUUAAACAAGGAAGAAGUAUACAAACAGGGAAAUAAGGUGCCUGCAACACCCCCUGUUGAAAGCUGCAUUACUUAUUCUGCUAGAAUGAGUUUAUAUUGGAUAAAUCUAGUACGACGUGAAAACCCUAUUUCCAGCUGAGACUUAAAGAUGUUUUACUAAAACAUGCUUAAGCAAAUGCAUUUUGACGCCUCACGAGGAAGAUACACACAGAGCUAUCUGUAGAAGUUCAAUAAUUUGUGUAUUGGCAGCUGAAGAAAGAUGUUCUCUUUCUGAUUUGCACUCAAAGAUUUGCAUUGACUUAAUUUAAAAUUCAUGGUAUGCACAGUAGAAAUGGUUAAAUAUGACUUUUGGAUGAUAACUAACAAGGGAAAGUAACUUUUCCUUUCCUGUUCAGUAGUUAGCUAUGCUACUGAAACUCCACAUGCUCACCCAGAAACUGUCCUUUUAGCAGAGGGUCCCUUCACCGUGACAGCCUAAGACAAUGGGACUGCUCCUUCAACUGGCCUCUCUCCACCUUCCAGGAUCCCGAAAGUUUUGAAAUCCACCUCAAGCCCAGGCAGUAGCAAACUGGGAGAGGAAUUGAAGAAGCAAAAAUAAAUAUUAAAGUACAGAAGAAUUAAAUAUUACCUAUUUAAAUGGCAAUUAGGCAGUUGAAAACAAGAUCAUCACACCUGUACAAGAAAAGGCAUACAAGCCCAAAACAUCUGCUGGGAUCCACCUGCCAGGCACCUGUUUUGCUGUUUCAAUGCCAUUUGAUUGCUGGAGAUGUAGAGGCUCUUGUGAGGUAAUGAGUGAUUUUACAUUAUGCAUGAUUGAAAACAGGUGUUCUAAUGCUGUACAAUUCGAUGCAUGAAUAAUUCAGUUUGUUUAGAGCAAGAUCUUUCAAAGAAGUACUGCAUAGGCUUUAUUAUUUCUAUAAACACGAAGGUUAGUUUUUAGAAAAUGCACAACGAUUGUUCCUUUUCAGUCUGCUUGUUUAUGUCAAUUUUUGUGUAAUUUUAUGGAUGAGGAAUAAUAUCUUGAAAGGUAAAAUUGAUCAGACUUAAAACAUGUACGAAGUAAAAUUGAAAGGUCUCUUAGCAAGAGGAAAAACGAUAUUAAAAUUCAAUGUUCUAAGUGAAAAUGCCUGAUUAUUUCCUUCCUGCUUUGCCUGCUUUCUGAUGGUAACAAAACAUUCAUCUGAGAGCUAUAAUUAGGGAGGGGUGAACUAUUUGGGAAAAUAGAGAAUUUGUUUUGUACCUCAGCCCAAACACCAAGCAGAGCCCAGACUUCCUUAAAGAUAGAACUGACGUUAGUCAGCAGCCCUUCCUUCUACUUAGAUCUCGUGAGUUCACAGCCUCUUGUACUCCACUGUAAAGUACCACUGAGAGAGACAAUUGCUUUUGCUCCAAUUCCCACUUCAAGUCUUGUCUACCCUGGCAGCAGUUUAUUAUCAGAAUGUUGUGUUUCAAACAGCAAGUAAAAUCCCCAAACUCCCAAUAUAGACAUGAGAUGUGUUCUCUUAGAGACUUGUUCUCUUGGAGACCAAAGACCCUGUGAUGUCUCAAACUACAUAUCAUUAAAUAGUUAAGAUUUCUGAGGUGUGAGAGAGAGAAAACAUAUUUGCUUCAAUAAGUACUAUUUAAGUAAAGGAAAGACGAAGAGGACAG